AUUGAACGCUGGCGGCAUGCCUUACACAUGCAAGUCGAACGGCAGCACGGGGCAACCUGGUGGCGAGUGGCGAACGGGUGAGUAAUGCAUCGGAACGUGCCAUUGAGUGGGGGAUAACGUAGCGAAAGUUGCGCUAAUACCGCAUAUUCUGUGAGCAGGAAAGCAGGGGACCGCAAGGCCUUGCGCUCUUUGAGCGGCCGAUGUCAGAUUAGCUAGUUGGUGAGGUAACGGCUUACCAAGGCGACGAUCUGUAGCGGGUCUGAGAGGAUGAUCCGCCACACUGGAACUGAGACACGGUCCAGACUCCUACGGGAGGCAGCAGUGGGGAAUUUUGGACAAUGGGCGCAAGCCUGAUCCAGCCAUGCCGCGUGAGUGAAGAAGGCCUUCGGUUGUAAG
rnacentral:rRNA from 1 species